rnacentral:rRNA from 1 species
CCUACGGGUGGCAGCAGUGAGGAAUAUUGGUCAAUGGGCUUACGCCUGAACCAGCCAAGUCGCGUGAGGGAAGACUGCCCUAUGGGUUGUAAACCUCUUUUGUCAGGGAGCAAUUGGCGCUACGUGUAGCGUUAUCGAGAGUACCUGAAGAAAAAGCAUCGGCUAACUCCGUGCCAGCAGCCGCGGUAAUACGGAGGGGGCAAGCGUUAUCCGGAUUUACUGGGUGUAAAGGGAGCGUAGACGGCAAGGCAAGCCAGAAGUGAAAGGGCAGGGCUCAACCCUGUACAUGCUUUUGGAACUGUGGUGCUAGAGUGCAGGAGAGGUAAGUGGAAUUCCUAGUGUAGCGGUGAAAUGCGUAGAUAUUAGGAGGAACACCAGUGGCGAAGGCGGCUUACUGGACUGUAACUGACGUUGAGGCUCGAAAGCGUGGGGAGCAAACAGGAUUAGAUACCCGUGUAGUC